CUCCUCUCAGGGUCGUACCUGGAGGGUUUCCAGUACUCUACCAGUCUCGACUAUGGGAGGGAGAGAGAGUAAAGUAGAGGCAUAACCAUUCCAUUCCUAGCUUGGGCGGGGGCUAGUGAAGGGAAGGCAAUCUGCUCCAAGU